UUUCCGUAGGUGAACCUGCGGAAGGAUCAUUCAUAAUGAGUGGUUUAUGGCACUUUUAUAAAUCCAUUUCUGCCUUGUGUGCAAUGUCAGUGUUGAUUUUUAUCUGGAUAGUAUCGACUACAAACAUGAACUAUAUCAAAAUUCUUUGUUUGAAAAAUAUUAUGAAUAAAACAAUUCAAAAUACAACUUUCAACAACGGAUCUCUUGGCUCUC
rnacentral:misc_RNA from 1 species